rfam:Aedes aegypti strain Liverpool supercont1.367 genomic scaffold, whole genome shotgun sequence.
UGCCCAGCAACUCCUAUCCCUACCUCCUCGUGGUACUGGCCGGGGUACGAGUAACCUUGGGGAAGAUCGGGUUACCAAACCCCGGUGGGAACUCUGGUCGUAUGCUGACAGGGAAGG